CGGCGGACGGGUGAGUAACGCGUGGGUAACCUGCCUCAUACAGGGGGAUAACAGUUGGAAACGGCUGCUAAUACCGCAUAAGCGCACAGUACCGCAUGGUACGGUGUGAAAAACUCCGGUGGUAUGAGAUGGACCCGCGUCGGAUUAGGUAGUUGGUGGGGUAACGGCCUACCAAGCCGACGAUCAGUAGCCGACCUGAGAGGGUGACCGGCCACAUUGGGACUGAGACACGGCCCAA
rnacentral:rRNA from 1 species